rnacentral:rRNA from 1 species
UUCUACAGCCACACCACCCUUAAUAUGCUCGACCUCAUCUGAUCUUGGGAACCUAAGCAGUGUCAGGCUUGGUUAGUGCUUGGAUGGGAGGCAGGAAGGAAGCAGGAAGAAAGAACAGUGGCAU